rnacentral:rRNA from 1 species
GACGAACGCUGUCGGCGUGCUUAACACAUGCAAGUCGAACGGAAAGGCCCUGCUUUUGUGGGGUGCUCGAGUGGCGAACGGGUGAGUAACACGUGAGUAACCUGCCCUUGACUUUGGGAUAACUUCAGGAAACUGGGGCUAAUACCGGAUAGGAGCUCCUGCUGCAUGGUGGGGGUUGGAAAGUUUCGGCGGUUGGGGAUGGACUGGCGGCUUAUCAGCUUGUUGGUGGGGUAGUGGCUUACCAAGGCUUUGACGGGUAGCCGGCCUGAGAGGGUGACCGGCCACAUUGGGACUGAGAUACGGCCCAGACUCCUACGGGAGGCAGCAGUGGGGAAUAUUGCACAAUGGGCGGAAGCCUGAUGCAGCAACGCCGCGUGCGGGAUGACGGCCUUCGGGUUGUAAACCGCUUUCGCCUGUGACGAAGCGUGAGUGACGGUAAUGGGUAAAGAAGCACCGGCUAACUACGUG